UACGGGGGGGGGCAAGCGUUGUUCGGAAUUACUGGGCGUAAAGCGCGCGCAGGCGGUUCUUCAAGUCAGAGGUGAAAGCCCAGAGCUCAACUCUGGAAUGGCCUUUGAGACUAGAGAACUAGGGUACGGGAGAGGUGAGUGGAAUUCCGAGUGUAGAGGUGAAAUUCGUAGAUAUUCGGAAGAACACCAGUGGCGAAGGCGGCUCACUGGCCCGGUACUGACGCUGAGGCGCGAAAGCGUGGGGAGCAAACAGG
rnacentral:rRNA from 1 species